rnacentral:rRNA from 1 species
UACGUAGGAGGCAAGCGUUGUCCGGAAUUACUGGGCGUAAAGCGCGUGUAGGUGGUGGGACAAGUCUGCUGUGAAAGCGCCUGGCUUAACCGGGCGAGGUCGGCGGAAACUGCCUCACUUGAGGACGGUAGAGGGGGUGGAAUUCCCGGUGUAGUGGUGAAAUGCGUAGAGAUCGGGAGGAACACCUGUGGCGAAGGCGGCCCCCUGGGCCGGCCCUGACACUGAGACGCGAAGGCGUGGGGAGCGAACGGG